GAUGAACGCUAGCGGCAGGCUUAAUACAUGCAAGUCGAGGGACAGCACAGGUAGCAAUACUGGGUGGUAACCGGCAAACGGGUGCGGAACACGUACACAACCUUCCUUUAAGUGGGGGAUAGCCCAGAGAAAUUUGGAUUAAUACCCCGUAAUAUAGUUGAAUGGCAUCAUUUGAUUAUUAUAGCUACGGCGCUUAAUGAUGGGUGUGCGGCUGAUUAGAUAGUUGGCGGGGUAACGGCACACCAAGUCUACGAUCAGUAGCUGAUGUGAGUGCAUGAUCAGCCGGACGGGCACUGAGGCAGCGGCCCGACUGCUAGGGGAGGCAGCAGUAAAGAAUAUUGGUCAGUGGAAGCAAGUUUGAACCAGCCAUGCAGCGUGACAGAUUAUGGUCCUCUGGAUUGUAAACGUCCUUUAUUUGGGACGAAAAAGGGCCUUUCCAGGUCAACUGACGGUACCAGAUGAAUAAGAACCGGCUAACUCCGUGCCAGCCGCCGCAGUAACAC
rnacentral:rRNA from 1 species